ACGUACGCUGGCGGCACGCCUAACACAUGCAAGUCGAACGAAGUAGCAAUACUUAGUGGCAGACGGGUGAGUAACAUGUAGGUAUCUGCCCUUUGGCCUGGAAUAACACGAGGAAACUUGUGCUAAUACCGGAUAAGUCUUUACGGAGAAAGCUUUAUGCACCAUUGGAUGAGCCUGCACUUGAUUAGUUUGUUGGUGGGGUAAUGGCCUACCAAGACUGUGAUCAAUAGCUGAUUUGAGAGGAUGAUCAGCCACAUUGGGACUGAGACACGGCCCAAACUCCUACGGGAGGCAGCAGUGGGGAAUCUUGCACAAUGGAGGAAACUCUGAUGCAGCGAUGCCGCGUGAGUGAAGAAGGCCUUUGGGUUGUAAAGCUCUUUCGUCGGGGAAGAAAAUGACUGUACCCGAAUAAGAAGGUCCGGCUAACUUCGUGCCAGCAGCCGCGGUAAUACGAAGGGACCUAGCGUAGUUCGGAAUUACUGGGCUUAAAGAGUUCGUAGGUGGUUGAAAAAGUUAGUGGUGAAAUCCCAGAGCUUAACUCUGGAACUGCCAUUAAAACUUUUCAGCUAGAGUAUGAUAGAGGAAAGCAGAAUUUCUAGUGUAGAGGUGAAAUUCGUAGAUAUUAGAAAGAAUACCAAUUGCGAAGGCAGCUCUCUGGAUCAUUACUGACACUGA
rnacentral:rRNA from 1 species